GACGAACGCUGGCGGCGUGCUUAACACAUGCAAGUCGAACGGAAAGGCCCUGCUUUUGUGGGGUGCUCGAGUGGCGAACGGGUGAGUAACACGUGAGUAACCUGCCCUUGACUUUGGGAUAACUUCAGGAAACUGGGGCUAAUACCGGAUAGGAGCUCCUGCUGCAUGGUGGGGGUUGGAAAGUUUCGGCGGUUGGGGAUGGACUCGCGGCUUAUCAGCUUGUUGGUGGGGUAGUGGCUUACCAAGGCUUUGACGGGUAGCCGGCCUGAGAGGGUGACCGGCCACAUUGGGACUGAGAUACGGCCCAGACGCCUACGGGAGGCAGCAGUGGGGAAUAUUGCACAAUGGGCGGAAGCCGGAUGCAGCAACGCCGCGUGCGGGAUGACGGCCUUCGGGUUGGAAACCGCUUUCGCCUGUGACGAAGCGUGAGUGACGGUAAUGGGUAAAGAAGCACCGGCUAACUACGUG
rnacentral:rRNA from 1 species